UCACGUUAGUCGGUGUUUCUCCUCCAAUGGGAGCUACUUCGCUCACGUUAGUCGGUGUUUCUCCUCCAAUGGGAGCUACUUCGCUCACGUUAGUCGGUGUUUCUCCUCCAAUGGGAGCUACUUCGCUCACGUUAGUCGGUGUUUCUCCUCCAAUGGCGCUACUUCGCUCACGUUAGUCGGUGUUUCUCCUCCAAUGGGAGCUACUUCGCUCACGUUAGUCGGUGUUUCUCCUCCAAUGGGAGCUACUUCGCUCACGUUAGUCGGUGUUUCUCCUCCAAUGGCGCUACUUCGCUCACGUUAGUCGGUGUUUCUCCUCCAAUGGCGCUUGCCCCUCUCCAUUCUCACAUUGAACGGUUUAGCCAAUGUCGUACCGCCUCAUAAUGGACCGAGCCUAUCAAUGUCCGCGCUCACAAUGGAAAUCGGCCAAUCACCGUGGCGACAUGCGAGCCUAUCAAUGUCCGCGCUCACAAUGGAAAUCGGCCAAUCACCGUGGCGACAUGCGAACCUAUCAAUGUCCGCGCUCACAAUGGAAAUCGGCCAAUCACCGUGGCGACAUGCGAACCUAUCAAUGUCCGCGCUCACAAUGGAAAUCGGCCAAUCACCGUGGCGACAUGCGAACCUAUCAAUGUCCGCGCUCACAAUGGAAAUCGGCCAAUCACCGUGAGCCCUCCCUCUCUCAGACGCCCUCACGCCCCCCACCACCACAAACAAAACAAAUUUCGAAUUUUAUUUUUAAAAAUAAAAACCGUUGGAAGAUUCUGAAAGUCAGAUGUCAGUAGCCUAGCUUCGUUGAAGAAGGAUUCGUCAUCACAUCAUUGAUCUCUCGACCUAAAGGAUCUUGCUGUGAGUACCCAUUAAUAUUGUUUAUUGUCUGUUGUCGUUCAAACAGAUUUCGUAUUUAUAAUUGUACAUCAGCUAAAAUAAUAUAUUGUGGGUUAAAUAAAAGGGCGACAUAAUGAUGUCAUGUUCUGAGUGCAAGAGUAAGGACACAUUUUAUUUUAUAAUAUAGUAGUAACAUUUUAAGUUAAAAUGUAAAUGCAUACAUAGAUAUCAACCUAUAUAUAGACCAACCUCGAUCGAUCGAUCGAGGGUUAUAGUUUUUUUUUUUUACCUCAUCAUAAUUAGCACAGAAAACUAUGGCUUUGAUUUUACUUUUAAAUGCUUUUAUGUCAUACCCAUUGUUAGUUGUGCACAAAGUGCAUCAUUAGUUUAUGGAAUUUGAUUCUGCUAAUUCCCAAUGUUAUCUUCAGAUGAGCACCAAGCCAAAGAGCCACAAAGGUAUGGGGGAUGGGGAGUGGAUGGCAAGGCUUAAGGCAUUUGCCAGCACUGGGGUUUGGCCUUCCAAUGCAGGGAAUAGACCAGCCCCAAGGCAGAAGAAAUGGCAUGAUAUCUAUCAGAAGAUAGAAAAAUGCCCCAUGCAAGUUCGGGGACAGACCACCCUUUUUGGAGCGUCUGUCACUUGUGACUGUGGCUUUCACACUGUUAAACCUGCACUGCAGCCUCCUUCUGCACCUCCUUCUUUGACCCCACAGUCUGUGGGUUCACAAUCUAAUUCUGGAGAUACAGCAACAGCCACCCGCUGUUUCCUGAGGUCCCCUCCAUCUUUGUCAAGGGCAGUCAGCUGCCUCCACCCAGCCUGCUGCCUCCACCCUGUCUGCUGCCUCCACUCUGUCUGCUCCCUCCACCCAGCCAGCUCCCUCCACCCAGCCAGCUCCCUCCACCCUGUCUGCUGCCUCCACCCAGCCUGGCAUUGCUGAGCCUAUGUCAGAGGGUUUAGAUGAGGCCGGUGUACCAGGCCUGGACAAAGUUGACAGCUUGGCUGAGUAUCUGGUGGAGCUAAGGAGCAAAACCUCACUGGUGCUGACCAACCAGGAGGUGAGCUGCAUUGUUGCUCUGUGGCAGAACCUGCUGGAGUUUGAUAAACAGAGAACGGUAUUUGCUGCAAGACAUCAAGAAAGAUUGAACACUGGGAGGUUUCGGUCCCCCAAGAAGAGGCAAGAAUUUACUCCUGGGGUUGAGAGUGUAAAGAGGCAUGCUCUAACCACUCCAGCCCCAUCUGCCCAAUGGCCAGACUGCUGCCGCUUGGUGGAGACCAUCUUUGUCCGACUGUGCAAUAUCCAUCGUAGUCCAAAGAAAAGAGGAGCAGGCACAGUCUCCAGGUGCAGCCCCUGCUCAACCUGGUAGAGAACCUCGAAAAUUGACUCGCAAAGUUUUGCACAACACAUGCAAAAAAUGCGGGCAGUUUAGAAUAGCUGAAACAGGACACAGCCAAUAUAGAGGGCAAAUUUACUGUCCCUCUAAUGAAAGUCUCACUAAAGAGCAGUGGCUGGAACAAAUUAAAAAGAAAAAAUAAACAUUUUCUUUAUUUUAAAUAACUUCACUGUAUAUAAGUUUUAUUUAGUUCAUAGUGUGUUUAUUUUGUUUUGGGUUAAUGAUACAGAUAUUUAUUCUUAUUGUCAUUGUGUACACAAAGUAAUUCAACAAACCAUACAGUAAAAGGAUUUAAGUCCUUCAGCAAACCACAAAUUUCUUGGUUAAGAAAAAGAAAUGGGAGACUUCAAUGGAAAUGUGUUGCAUCCAAAUGCUACAAUGUUUUGGGACUAACUAAAAAUGUUUAAUUCACUGUCUUAAUUGUUGAAUAAAUAUUUGGUUCUUUUAAACCGAUAAGGUCUAUGGUCUUUUGUGAGUAAAUAUUAGCUGCUUCAAAUUCUGAAUUAUUGGUAAUUUAAGCAUACACUAGAAAAAAGAUAUCAUUCACUUCACUCAAAGUACUUUAGGAAAGACACUUGCAAUUUUAGUUUCAGUCACUGUUUUGUGGGAAAAAUGAAAAUAAGCACUGGGUAUGAUUAAGGACAUUAAAAUAUACAUCAAGUAUAUAGUAUACAGUAUAAUUUAACACAUUAAUUUGAAUAUAUCAGAAUAAAAAAGCAAAAUUAAUUAAGCAAUUCAAAGUUUUAAAAAGAAAGCCUUUUAUGACAAGUGUUGGGUUUUAGUUUACAGUACUACACUAUCUGUACAAAAAAGCAUUUAAAAUGUUUUCAAGAUACAAAAAAACAGCCGUUACUUCAUAACACUUAAACAUUAAUUGUGGGAAAUCUUUUCACUAAAACAUAGUAUGGCGACUGGUGGGAUCGAACUCGCGACUCUGGGAUCGGCCUCACUCUUCCCCUUUCUUCUCCCCUCCCUUUCUUC